CUUGAAAUACCACCCUUUAAUGUUUGAUGUUCUAACGUGGACCCGUUACCCGGGUUGCGGACAGUGUCUGGUGGGUAGUUUGACUGGGGCGGUCUCCUCCUAAAGAGUAACGGAGGAGCACGAAGGUUGGCUAAUCCUGGUCGGACAUCAGGAGGUUAGUGCAAUGGCAUAAGCCAGCUUGACUGCGAGCGUGACGGCGCGAGCAGGUGCGAAAGCAGGUCAUAGUGAUCCGGUGGUUCUGAAUGGAAGGGCCAUCGCUCAACGGAUAAAAGGUACUCCGGGGAUAACAGGCUGAUACCGCCCAAGAGUUCAUAUCGACGGCGGUGUUUGGCACCUCGAUGUCGGCUCAUCACAUCCUGGGGCUGAAGUAGGUCCCAAGGGUAUGGCUGUUCGCCAUUUAAAGUGGUACGCGAGCUGGGUUUAGAACGUCGUGAGACAGUUCGGUCCCUAUCUGCCGUGGGCGCUGGAGAACUGAGGGGGGCUGCUCCUAGUACGAGAGGACCGGAGUGGACGCAUCACUGGUGUUCGGGUUGUCAUGCCAAUGGCACUGCCCGGUAGCUAAAUGCGGAAGAGAUAAGUGCUGAAAGCAUCUAAGCACGAAACUUGCCCCGA
rnacentral:rRNA from 1 species